GACGAACGCUGGCGGCGUGCCUAAUACAUGCAAGUAGAACGCUGAAGAGAGGAGCUUGCUCUUCUUGGAUGAGUUGCGAACGGGUGAGUAACGCGUAGGUAACCUGCCUUGUAGCGGGGGAUAACUAUUGGAAACGAUAGCUAAUACCGCAUAACAAUGGAUGACACAUGUCAUUUAUUUGAAAGGGGCAAUUGCUCCACUACAAGAUGGACCUGCGUUGUAUUAGCUAGUAGGUGAGGUAACGGCUCACCUAGGCGACGAUACAUAGCCGACCUGAGAGGGUGAUCGGCCACACUGGGACUGAGACGCGGCCCAGACUCCUACGGGAGGCAGCAGUAGGGAAUCUUCGGCAAUGGGGGCAACCCUGACCGAGCAACGCCGCGUGAGUGAGGAAGGUUUUCGGAUCGUAAAGCUCUGUUGUAAGUCAAGAACGAGUGUGAGAGUGGAAAGUUCACACUGUGACGGUAGCUUACCAGAAAGGGACGGCUAACUACGUGCCAGCAGCCGCGGUAAUACGUAGGUCCCGAGAGUUGUCCGGAUUUAUUGGGCGUAAAGCGAGCGCAGGCGGUUUGAUAAGUCUGAAGUUAAAGGCUGUGGCUCAACCAUAGUUCGCUUUGGAAACUGUCAAACUUGAGUGCAGAAGGGGAGAGUGGAAUUCCAUGUAUAGCGGUGAAAUGCGUAGAUAUAUGGAGGAACACCGGUGGCGAAAGCGGCUCUCUGGUCUGUAACUGACGCUGAGGCUCGAAAGCGUGGGGAGCGAACAGGAUUAGAUACCCUGGUAGUCCACGCCGUAAACGAUGAGUGCUAGGUGUUGGAUCCUUUCCGGGAUUCAGUGCCGCAGCUAACGCAUUAAGCACUCCGCCUGGGGAGUACGACCGCAAGGUUGAAACUCAAAGGAAUUGACGGGGGCCCGCACAAGCGGUGGAGCAUGUGGUUUAAUUCGAAGCAACGCGAAGAACCUUACCAGGUCUUGACAUCCCGAUGCUAUUUCUAGAGAUAGAAAGUUACUUCGGUACAUCGGUGACAGGUGGUGCAUGGUUGUCGUCAGCUCGUGUCGUGAGAUGUUGGGUUAAGUCCCGCAACGAGCGCAACCCCUAUUGUUAGUUGCCAUCAUUCAGUUGGGCACUCUAGCGAGACUGCCGGUAAUAAACCGGAGGAAGGUGGGGAUGACGUCAAAUCAUCAUGCCCCUUAUGACCUGGGCUACACACGUGCUACAAUGGUUGGUACAACGAGUUGCGAGUCGGUGACGGCAAGCUAAUCUCUUAAAGCCAAUCUCAGUUCGGAUUGUAGGCUGCAACUCGCCUACAUGAAGUCGGAAUCGCUAGUAAUCGCGGAUCAGCACGCCGCGGUGAAUACGUUCCCGGGCCU
rnacentral:rRNA from 1 species